rnacentral:rRNA from 1 species
UACGGAGGGUGCGAGCGUUGUCCGGAAUCACUGGGCGUAAAGGGCGCGUAGGUGGCCCGACAAGUCAAUGGUGAAAGCUCGACGCUCAACGUCGAGUCGGCCACUGAUACUGUUGGGCUGGAGCACUGUAGAGGCUCAUGGAAUUCCGGGUGUAGCGGUGGAAUGCGUAGAGAUCCGGAAGAACACCGGUGGCGAAGGCGGUGAGCUGGGCAGUAGCUGACACUGAGGCGCGACAGCGUGGGGAGCAAACAGG